rnacentral:rRNA from 1 species
UACGUAGGGUGCAAGCGUUGUCCGGAAUUAUUGGGCGUAGAGAGCUCGUAGGCGGUCUGUCGCGUCGGCUGUGAAAACCCGGGGCUCAACCCCGGGCCUGCAGUCGAUACGGGCAGACUAGAGUGCGGUAGGGGAGACUGGAAUUCCUGGUGUAGCGGUGAAAUGCGCAGAUAUCGGGAGGAACACCUGUGGCGAAGGCGGCUUUCUGGGCCCUACCUGACGCUGAGACGCGAAAGCGUGGGGAGCGAACCGG